UACGGAGGCUGCAAGCGUUAUCCGGAAUGAUUGGGCGUAAAGCGUCCGCAGGUGGCUGUGUAAGUCUGCUGUCAAAGAGCAAAGCUCAACUUUGUAAAGGCAGUGGAAACUACACGGCUAGAGUGCGUUCGGGGCAGAGGGAAUUCCUGGUGUAGCGGUGAAAUGCGUAGAGAUCAGGAAGAACACCGGUGGCGAAGGCGCUCUGCUAGGCCGCAACUGACACUGAGGGACGAAAGCUAGGGGAGCGAAUGGG
rnacentral:rRNA from 1 species